GACGAACGCUGGCGGCGUGCUUAACACAUGCAAGUCGAACGGAAAGGCCCUGCUUUUGUGGGGUGCUCGAGUGGCGAACGGGUGAGUAACACGUGAGUAACCUGCCCUUGACUUUGGGAUAACUUCAGGAAACUGGGGCUAAUACCGGAUAGGAGCUCCUGCUGCAUGGUGGGGGUUGGAAAGUUUCGGCGGUUGGGGAUGGACUCGCGGCUUAUCAGCUUGUUGGUGGGGUAGUGGCUUACCAAGGCUUUGACGGGUAGCCGGCCUGAGAGGGUGACCGGCCACAUUGGGACUGAGAUACGGCCCAGACUCCUACGGGAGGCAACAGUGGGGAAUAUUGCACAAUGGGCGGAAGCCUGAUGCAGCAACGCCGCGUGCGGGAUGACGGCCUUCGGGUUAUAAACCGCUUUCGCCUGUGACGAAGCGUGAGUGACGGUAAUGGGUAAAGAAGCACCGGCUAACUACGUG
rnacentral:rRNA from 1 species